rnacentral:rRNA from 1 species
GACGAACGCUGGCGGCGUGCUUAACACAUGCAAGUCGAGCGGAGCGGCGAACGGGUGAGUAACCCGUGAGUAACUGCCCCCCUCUCUGGGAUAACAGUUGGAAACGGCUGCUAAUACCGGAUAGUGGGGGAUGACUCGCGGCCUAUCAGCUUGUUGGUGGGGUAAUGGCCUACCAAGGCGGCGACGGUUAGCCGGCCUGCGAGGUGGGACGGCCACAUUGGGCUGAGACACGGCCCAGACUCCUACGGGGGGCAGCAGUGGGGAGUAUUGCACAAGGGGCGGAAGCCUGAUGCAGCGACGCCGAGUGGGGGAGGACGGCAUUCGGGGUGUAAACUCCUUUCACCAUCGACGCGGUAGAUGGAGAAGAAGCACCGGCUAACUACGUGCCAGCAGCCGCGGUAAUAC